CUUGCUUUUCUGUUUCCCAAUGAGGUAGUUUUCUCUAGGAUAUUUUGGACUUUUUGAAUUUUAUUGCAGCACAGUGUUCAGAUCAUCACUGUGUAACACUGAAGAGGUCUAUUCAAGUUUCAGUUAUCUUACCUAAAAUGGGUAUAGUUUCCUAAACUGGUUCCUAACAAUGUAAUUGUUUCUGAACCAAGAACUAUGACUUUAAAAAGUCAUUUUCAGGCUGGGGCUGGGGCUGAGCGAUAGAGCGCUGGCCUAACAGGCGGGAGGCCCUGGGUUGGAUCCUCAGCAUCCCCCAAAAAAAUAAAUCAACAAAAUAAAGAUAUUGUGUCCAACUACAACUAAGAAAUAAAUUAAAAAAUAAUGUAUCACUUUCACAUCUUAACCAUGUUAUUGUGUGUUAGCAUAGUUGGUAAUAUUUCCCACAAUACCUUCCAUAGAAUUUUGGCUCUCAGAUGUUUCUUCCAGUAAACCUUUGCUAUUGGAGUUGAAGUUAAUCCACAGGUAUAAUAUAUUUUCCUUGGAGUUUCUAGGAAAGGGUAAAAAAGUUUUUUUGUCUGACAGCAGAAAUGAUGUGGGGCUCUAAUAUUGCAGUCUUGUUUUUUUAAAGGAAAUUCCUCCUUAACUCUUACCCUGAAAAUACGACUUAGUGAUAACUAUACAAGACAUUGUUUUCUUAGAGAACAUUUUGUUUAUCCUACAUGCUUAAUCUGGUUUAUGGAUAAAGUCCUUGAAAUCAUUGACCCAUCCCGUUUCUAUUUUUGAGAUACAUAAAACUAUUUUCUCAUCAAGAUGUUCCUUCUGUUCAAUUUCACACCUUGUAUGGGUUUCUGGACUUCUCUGUACCCUUCAUAUUCUUUUAGUCUCUAGGGUCCCAGUCCCUCGUCUGCUGAGCCAGUUUUAUAGACUCAGCCAAAAUAAGAAAAUGAAAUGAGGCAAAGGGAUGAACCUGAUUAAUCUAUUAAAUUUAUAAGUACUCCUGUUUACUUCCUUCUUGGCCCUAAUUUGAUUUUAAACCUAGUGCCUGGUUCUUUUUUAAAAGUGAAUUUAGGUUUCCAGUAUUUUAAAAGAAUUGAAGUCCUAUUGUCAAAAGCUCACUCACAGAAUUGUGUUAGAAUUACUAGAAAUACAAAAUCUGGGCUGGUGAUGUAGCUUAAUGGUAGAGUGCUUGUCUAGCAUGUAUAAACACCUGGGCACUGCAAAAAAGUACAUAUAUAUGAGGCCCUGUUCUGGAACUGGGCUCAGUUUUAACACUACGGCCAGAUGUUUUAUGUGAACAUCAGUGUUUCAAAGGCACAGCUGUAAUCUAUAGUUUUGUUUAGAGGGGAAAACUGGCACUUUAUUCAACAAAAUAUUAACGUUCCUGUGUUCCAAGGGUUCAAAAUAAAGAAACCAUGUUAUAAAUUAGCAACUUACUGAGGC
rnacentral:lncRNA from 1 species